rnacentral:rRNA from 1 species
AAGUCGAACGAGGUAGUUAUACCGAGUGGCGAACGGGUGAGUAACGACGUAGGUAACCGUGCCUUACAGUUUGGGAUACCCUGGCGAAAGCUAGGCUAAUACCGUAUAAUUGGAUUGGAGGCAUCUCCGAUCGUCUAAAAGGGGCCCUUAAAGCCUCGCUGAAUGAUGGACCUGCGGCGCAUUAGCUAGUUGGUGAGAUAAUAGCCCACCAAGGCGAGGGAUGCGUAGCCGGACCUGAGAGGGUGAACGGCCACACUGGAACUGAGACACGGUCCAGACUCCUACGGGAGGCAGCAGUAGGGAGUUUUCGGCAAUGGGGGAAACCCUGACCGAGCAACGCCGCGUGAAUGAUGAAGGUUCCUUCGAAUUGUAAAGUUCUGUUGUAAGGGAAAAAUGAUAUGGUGAGGAAAUGCUCCAUAUUUGAUGGUACCUUAUUAGAAAGCCACGGCUAACUACGUGCCAGCAGCAGC